UACGUAGGGUGCAAGCGUUGUUCGGAUUCAUUGGGCGUAAAGGGUGCGUAGGUGGCGCGCUAAGUCGGGUGUGAAAUUUCGGAGCUUAACUCCGAAACUGCAUUCGAUACUGGCGUGCUUGAGGACUGGAGAGGAGACUGGAAUUCAUGGUGUAGCAGUGAAAUGCGUAGAGAUCAUGAGGAAGACCAGUGGCGAAGGCGGGUCUCUGGACAGUUCCUGACACUGAGGCACGAAGGCCAGGGGAGCAAACGGG
rnacentral:rRNA from 1 species